rnacentral:rRNA from 1 species
UUGGAGGGCAAGUCUGGUGCCAGCAGCCGCGGUAAUUCCAGCUCCAAUAGCGUAUAUUAAAGUUGUUGCAGUUAAAAAGCUCGUAGUUGAAUUUCGGGAUCAGAGUGUCGGUCGUGCCUCGGUACGCACUGGUAUUAUUGGUUCCUACCUUCUGAAGAACCGCGAUGUCAUUAAUUUGGUGUCGUGGGGAAUCAGGACUGUUACUUUGAAAAAAUUAGAGUGUCUAAAGCAGUUUUACGCUUGAAUACAUUAGCAUGGAAUAAUGAAAUAGGACGUUUGAUUCUAUUUUGUUGGUUUCUAGGAUUGACGUAAUGAUUAAUAGGGAUAGUUGGGGGCAUUAGUAUUCAAUUGUCAGAGGUGAAAUUCUUGGAUUUAUUGAAGACUAACUACUGCGAAAGCAUUUGCCAAGGAUGUUUUCAUUAAUCAAGAACGAAAGUUAGGGGAUCGAAGACGAUCAGAUACCGUCGUAGUCUUAACCAUAAACUAUGCCGACUAGGGAUCGGAUGAUGUUAAUUUUAUAAUGACGCGUUCGGCACCUUACGGGAAACCAAAGUGUUUGGGUUC